rnacentral:rRNA from 1 species
UACAGAGGUCCCAAGCGUUGUUCGGAUUCAUUGGGCGUAAAGGGUGCGUAGGCGGCGCGGUAAGUCGGGUGUGAAAUCUCGGAGCUUAACUCCGAAACUGCAUUCGAUACUGCCGUGCUUGAGGACUGGAGAGGAGACUGGAAUUUACGGUGUAGCGGUGAAAUGCGUAGGAUAUCGUAAGGAAGACCAGUGGCGAAGGCGGGUCUCUGGACAGUUCCUGACGUGAGGCACGAAGGCCAGGGGAGCAAACGGG